UAUUCUCCUUUAUCCUUCCAGACUCUCCCAGUUCCCUUCCCAACAGCCCUCUCCCAGUGAGGGGAAAAAAAAAAUCUGUUAUUGUUAUACAACUUUUAGUGUUUUACUCACAAUUAGGGAGGAAAAAUAAGCAGAUAUGGCAGACAGUGUUGUGACUUUCCUGUUAGAGAACCUGACUCAAUUGCUCACCCAAGAAUCAAAAUUGCUUGGAGGAGUAGAAGAUCAAGUCAAGUUACUUCACAACGAGCUGAGAAUGAUCAACAUCUUCCUCCAAAAUUCUGAGGGGAAACGACAUGACAAUUUGGUGAAGGAAGUAGUAAGCCAAAUAAGGGACGUAGCCUAUGAGGCUGAGGAUGUUAUUGAUACAUUCAUCGUGACAGAGACAAAACACAGGAAAAGAAGCAAACUGAGGAAGGUAAUUCAUUACUUUGACCGAGCAAGCGCCCUUCACAUGGUAGCAAAGAAGAUAGAGAGCAUCAAAAACGUCAUCAAGGAAAUUUACGACAACAGGAGCAAGUACGGCAUAGAGAUAGCUGAACCAUCUGGAGGAGAUGCAGAAGCAGAGGAGAUAUUGAACAGACGCAGGAGAUAUGUAGAGGAAGAUCAGGUGGUGGGCUUUGGUCAUGACACUGAGGCAUUGGUGAAGCAGCUUAUGGAUGGGAAUUUGCAACGUACUGUUGUUUCAAUCAUUGGCAUGGGUGGCUUAGGUAAAACUACCCUUGCAAGGAAGAUCUACAACAAUUAUCAUAUUAAAAAUUACUUUGAUUUCCGUGGUUGGGUUUAUGUCUCUCAAGAAUAUAGAAUCAGAGAGGUAUUGCUUGAAGUUUUGAAGGGUGUGACACCAAGGCCAAAACUGAAAAGAUUUGUCUUGAAAGCCGAAUUGAAAGAGGAAUUACUCCACGGUUUGGAAGCUAUUUAUAGCUCGGAUAAGACUAAAUUUCAGGGCACAGUAAUUGAAGACUUGAAAGUUAUCAAGGAAAUGAGAGAUGAAGAAUGCAAAAAUACAUUGUUUGAGUUCUUGAUGACGAAGAAGGCGGAGGAAGACAUAAAAGAAAAUAUAUUGAAAGAUUCACGAGACGAUAAAUUGAUUGAUUUGUUGUUGAAUUUUGUGCGAGAUAUUUACAGAAUGAAUGGGGAAGGAUGGCAAGAUAUGAAUGAUGAUGAAUUGAAAAGUGUGCUGCUCGAAUGCUUGAAAGACAAGAGGUACCUACUUGUCAUGGACGACAUCUGGGAAACUGAACUAUGGGCUGAGGUGAGUAGUGUCUUUCCUGAUAACUUGAAUGGAAGUAGAAUAUUGAUCACUAGCCGCAUAAAAGAAGUAGCAUUAGAUGCAAGUAGUCUUAAUAAUAGUAUUCCUCCUAACUCCCCUUAUGAACUCCCAUUUCUUAAAGAAGAUGAAAGCUGGGAACUCUUCUCUAAGAAGGUGUUUCGGGGAGCUACAUGUCCCCCAGAACUUGAAACUUUUGGGAAAAAAAUUGUCAAAAGUUGCCAGGGUUUACCACUUGCUAUUGUGGUUUUGGCCGGUCUUUUGGCAAAUAAGGAGAAAACAUAUCGAACUUGGUCAAAAUAUAUCGGCAAUGUAAAUUCGUAUCUGACUGAGGAUAGAUCAAGUUGCACAGACAUAUUGGCUCUAAGCUACAAUCACUUACCCCGACACCUAAAACCGUGCUUUCUAUAUUUUGGUAUCUAUCCGGAAGACUUUGAGAUACCUGUGAGGCAGCUAAUCCGACUUUGGAAAGCUGAGGGAUUCAUACGGCAAACUGGCAACAGAAAUAUGGAAGACGUUGCUGAAGACUACUUCGAGGAACUCAUUGAUCGGAGCUUGAUUCAAGUUGCAACAAAAAGGCUAGAUGGAGGAGUCAAAACAUGUCGUAUCCAUGAUCUUCUACGAGACCUUUGUAUAUCAGAGAGCACAAAAGAGAAGUUUCUUGAGGUUUGUUCAGAUGUUAACCUUUCACCCAUGAGAAAAUCUCGUCGAAUUUCCAUUCACCAUGCCAACCAUCUAAAACUUUCUUCCAAACCUUGUGAGCCUUCAUAUAGUCGUUCUUUAAUAGGCUUUGGGGAGCUUGAGAGUCCUUUUGAUACAAGCUACUACUUGAAAUGGCUAUGUGAAGGUAACAAGUUGGUUCGGGUGGUAGAGCUCAGGAAUAUGGGCAUUUGUUGCUUAAUCCCCAAGAAGAUUGAAAACCUGGCCCUUUUGAGGUACUUGAGCAUUCCAUCUAGUGAGCUUCAUGACAUUCCAGAAUCCGUAUGCAACCUUUGGAAUCUAGAGACGCUAGACAUGAGAAAUUCUAGAUUAAAAUGCUUGCCCAAGGGGCUAUGGAAGUUACAAAACUUGAGACAUUUGUAUCUAGAUGGGCCAAUAUCUCUACCUAGAAUUGACAAUGAAGCAGCUUUACCCAAUCUUCAAGUCCUUACUGGUAUAGCUAUAAAUCAGGACACUGUGAAUCUCUUUGGCAAGUCCACAUUUCCUAAUGUAAGAAAAUUAGGAUUGUAUUCUUCAAGAGAGGUGGAGUCAGGGCUUUUGUCAAGCCUCCAUCCCUUGUGUUAUCUACAGACUUUGAAGAUUUAUGAACUCUUUCACCUUUCAAUUCCAAUCUCAUUCCAGUUGACCGUCACAAAGAUAACCUUGGUAGGCGCAGUCUUAUCUAGAUCCAAUAUAAGAGCGUUGGGUAGUCUUACCAACCUUCGAAUACUAAGCGUACGAGGUGUCCGUCAAGGCUGUAGUGAGAUCACUCUCCAUUGCGAUGAAAGUAGUUUUCUUCAACUUGAAGUGUUUAAAAUGGUAAAUAUGGAUGUUUUAAAAUGGACUAUGGGGAAUGGUGCAAUGCCAAGCCUUCAACGUUUGAACAUCGAGCAUUGCCGGUUUAAUUAUGCUGCCGCCAAGAGUAUACUGUGCUUGACUGCCUUACGGGAUGUGGAAAUUUUACAUCCCUCUCCAAUACUGGCAAAGGUAGUUCAACAGUUGCAGAUGAGGGAUGGAUGCAAGCUCCAAGUCUAUCCACCUCUAGACCCAACUACUUUGGGAUGGGUGUAAGCUCCAAGUCUAUCCACCUCUGAACCUAACUUGGAGAAAAAAUUGAUGGCUUCAUCUGCUUUUGUGGGGGUUCAAAUGGUCCUCUGUUUGCAAUGAUCUGAAUUUCGAAGAAGAAAAGUGAAAAGGAAAUUAGAAUGAAGGGAAAAAUAAUAAGAAGGCAAAAUACAAUAACAUGCGUUUUUCCUUACCCUCCUCGUUGGCUGUACUACAAUACAAUCAAGGAAAGCAGAAAAAAACGACAAGCCGUGUAGCCAACUGGGCUUAUAUGACAUGUCAUUCAUCAUCUUCUCACAAGAACUGUAACUGUGC